GAUACGGGAUCCUCGUAGUAGGCUGGACCAAAAUCCAGCCGAGAGAGGGCAGCCUUUAGAAGCAACAGGUUGGGAAACCAAGAGAAGGCUUCGCCUUUUCUUAUCUUCUUCCCGGCACAAAAAGAGGGAUUAGCAUUAUUGACCCCAUGAGAAAGCACUAACACCUUCCUCGUUGGGGCUCCGCGCACUGGGAAAAGGCUUCCGCGACAGGAAACCAGCUACUAGUUAGGAAGUGAACAUAAGGUAUCAAGAGGUCCCUCACAGUCAGGUGCGAUGCAAUUGCCCCCUAUUAGUCAAGUACCCCUCUUCCUAUUUUGUUUAGGGGUUAAAAUGGCUUGAUGAACCCUUCUGUUCACACGCACCGGCCCCAUUCACUUGCAACUCGUAGAGGCUGUAAGUAAACAGUGCCCCACUAAAUUCAAAGUGACGGUGGGGUUGAAAGACGAGAGUGCCUACCUCCGAGCCGAGAGUGCCCGCCCUUUCUGUCAAGUAGGCUACUUUUUCCGGAACGCAGUCCGGAAUAAGCGUUCCUGUGUAUAUAGAUAUCUUCGAUGCUGUCAUUUUGAAAUGUUCGCUUCCUCUUUCACCUCCCAAAAAGCAAAGUUGGC
rnacentral:lncRNA from 1 species